AUGUAUACAAUGGAAUAUUACUCAGCCAUUAGAAACGACAAAUACCCACCAUUUGCUUCAACGUGGAUGGAACUGGAGGGUAUUAAGCUGAGUGAAGCUUUUUGUUCGAAAGUAUUUGUGCGAGGCACAGUUUCUGAGAAAUGUUAACAUCAUAAAUUUAAUCCUGGAUAUCUUUAACGGACAACUGGAGGGAAAAAAAAGAAGACAAAUAAUAUUAGAUUUUGGACUAAAAUGUAAGUUAUCAAUGUGGUUAAUAGUCCCUACUGACAGCUAGAUAAAAAUAAAAUUGCCAGAACAAAAGCAAAAUAAAAUAAUGACACCAAAACCUCGAUAAAUGAGCAAACAAAGGAAUAACAAAUAAGUCUUGAAGAAGUCACCUCUUCUGCUUGCGUGAAUGUGCAAAUUGCACAUGUUCUCCCUGGAGAAAUUGUCCUAUAUUCUAUUUAGUCAGUGUAGACAGAGGCUGUUUAUCUCCAUAAAUAGUGCAUUUUGUGACUUUUUUUGACCAUCUGAAUGACAACUUUUUACACAGCCAACUGAAUUAAUCAUGCAGCUGUUCUUAACUGGUCAUUUAAAAGUGUCAAAAGCAUCAAAGUGACUUCUUGAUCUAUUGUUUUUGCUUGAAGAAACCAAGUUCUGGGAUCCCUGGGUGGCGCAGCGGUUUAGCGCCUGCCUUUGGCCCAGGGCGCGAUCCUGGAGACCCGGGAUCGAAUCCCACGUCGGGCUCCCGGUGCAUGGAGCCUGCUUCUCCCUCUGCCUGUGUCUCUGCCUCUCUCUCUCUCUCUCUCUCUCUCUCUGUGACUAUCAUAAAUAAAUAAAAAAUUAAAAAAAAAAGAAACCAAGUUCUUUUUUAAAAAUUUGAAAUGUAUUGGUUUUGAGUUAUUUGCAUGCUGACCUAAUAAUUUUGUACAUAGUUUUAGAAUAUAUUCUUUGAGGGCAUGCAGGUGUCUUAGUAGGUUAAGCAUCUGUCUUCGGCUCAGGUCAUGAUCCCAGGAAUCUGAGAUUGAAACUAGCAUCAGGCUCCCCACUUCAUGGGGAGUCGGCUUCACCCUCUGCCCUUCUCCCAGUUUCUACUCUCUGUCAAAUACAUGAAAUCUUAAAAAUUUAUAUAUA
rnacentral:lncRNA from 1 species